UGAGGAAUAUUGGUCAAUGGGCGAGAGCCUGAACCAGCCAAGUAGCGUGCAGGAUGACGGCCCUAUGGGUUGUAAACUGCUUUUAUGUGGGGAUAAAGUGCGUGACGUGUCAUGCAUUGCAGGUACCACAUGAAUAAGGACCGGCUAAUUCCGUGCCAGCAGCCGCGGUAAUACGGAAGGUCCGGGCGUUAUCCGGAUUUAUUGGGUUUAAAGGGAGCGUAGGCUGUCUAUUAAGCGUGUUGUGAAAUAUACCGGCUCAACCGGUGGCUUGCAGCGCGAACUGGUCGACUUGAGUAUGCAGGAAGUAGGCGGAAUUCAUGGUGUAGCGGUGAAAUGCUUAGAUAUCAUGAAGAACUCCGAUUGCGAAGGCAGCUUACGGGAGUGUUACUGACGCUUAAGCUCGAAGGUGCGGGUAUCGAACAGG
rnacentral:rRNA from 1 species